rnacentral:rRNA from 1 species
UACAGAGGUCUCAAGCGUUGUUCGGAUUCAUUGGGCGUAAAGGGUGCGUAGGUGGCGCUGUAAGUCGGGUGUGAAAUUUCGGAGCUUAACUCCGAAAACUGCAUUCGAUACUGCGGUGCUUGAGGACUGGAGAGGAGACUGGAAUUUACGGUGUAGCAGUGAAAAUGCGUAGAGAUCGUAAGGAAGACCAGUGGCGAAGGCGGGUCUCUGGACAGUUCCUGACACUGAGGCACGAAGGCCCAGGGGGAGCAAAACGGGG